rnacentral:rRNA from 1 species
GACGAACGCUGGCGGCGUGCUUAACACAUGCAAGUCGAACGGAAAGGCCCUGCUUAUGUGGGGUGCUCGAGUGGCGAACGGGUGAGUAACACGUGAGUAACCUGCCCUUCACUUUGGGAUAAGCUAAGGCAACUGGGGCUAAUACCGGAUAGGAGCUCCUGCUGGAUGGUGGGGGUUGGAAAGUUUCGGCGGUUGGGGAUGGACUCGCGCCUUAUCAGCUUGUUGGUGUGGUAGUGGCUUGCCAAGGCCUUGCCCGGUAGGCGGGCUGAGAGGGUGAGCGGCCACGUUAGGACUGAAAUACGGCCCGGACUCCUACGGGAGGCAACAGUGGGGAAUGUUGCACAGUGGGCGGAAGCCUGGUGCAGCACCGCCGUGUGGGGGAUGUCGGCCUUCGGGUUGUGAUCUGCAUUCGCCUGUGACGAAGCGUGAGUGACGGUAAUGGGUGAAUAAGCACCGGCUAACUACGUG